UAAGUAAGUGGUGGAAAUUAAACCAAAUGGGAUAUCUUUAGUAAUUGCGAAUGAACAAGGAUAUGCUUAGCUUGACAAAUGGAGCUAUUGGCUUUGAAUUGUAUUGUGGAAAUGUAUUACCAACAGAGGUGCAGGUGCCAGCCUAUUGAAAUAAAGCGUCAAUGAGGGUGAGAAUCCUGUUUGUCAUGUGCAGCCCUUUGUGCACGGUGUAUAUUUGCUGAGUCACACUCCUUGGCAUUGGAAUGCAAAGUGGGUGGUAAGUUUCAUGUAAAGGUAAACAUGCAAUUGAGACUGAUAGCACACAAGUACCAUGAGGGAAAUACGAAAAGGACUUUGAAAAGAGAAUUAAAUGAGUUUGUAUUUGCUGAACACAAAGUAAACAGACUUGAUUUGCUUGGUGGGAGUGUUGCACUUGCUUGACAAGAGCUUUGGGCUGUGGGUGUAAUGAUUCUUUCUUUGCAUGCCAGUUUCUAUUUGUACAUCUGAUUACCUUUGCACAUGAAUGAUAAGUCUCCUGUGGGGGGUGGAUUGCAUGUGCAUGUAAUGAUUUGUGUUUUGAUAAAUGUGUCUGGUGUAUGUGUGUGUUCCUGUGCUUGGGGAUGCUUCCUUCCUUGGACUUACAAGCCCUGACACACACAUGCUGGCAAAAUGCUUCUGCUUGACCCG
rnacentral:rRNA from 1 species